rnacentral:snRNA from 9 species
AUACUUACCUGGCGUAGGGAUACCGUGAUCAUGUAGGCGGUUCCCCCAGGGCGAGGCUGCUCCAUUGCACUUGGUUGACCCUUGCGAUUAUUCUUAUUGUUUUAAGUUUGACUUCUACCGUGUGACUUGCACACAAUGCACACACACA